rnacentral:rRNA from 1 species
CCUACGGGCGGCAGCAGUGAGGAAUAUUGGUCAAUGGACGAGAGUCUGAACCAGCCAAGUAGCGUGAAGGAUGACUGCCCUAUGGGUUGUAAACUUCUUUUAUAUGGGAAUAAAAUGUUCCACGUGUGGGUUUUUGUAUGUACCUUAUGAAUAAGGAUCGGCUAACUCCGUGCCAGCAGCCGCGGUAAUACGGAGGAUCCGAGCGUUAUCCGGAUUUAUUGGGUUUAAAGGGAGCGUAGGUGGGUUGUUAAGUCAGUUGUGAAAGUUUGCGGCUCAACAGUAAAAUUGCAGUUGAAACUGGCAGUCUUGAGUACAGUAGAGGUGGGCGGAAUUCGUGGUGUAGCGGUGAAAUGCUUAGAUAUCACGAAGAACUCCGAUUGCGAAGGCAGCUCACUGAACUGCAACUGACACUGAGGCUCGAAAGUGUGGGUAUCAAACAGGAUUAGAUACCCCAGUAGUC